UUAAUUAGCCAUAGUUUAAAUGAUUAUAUGGUAUAAUAAAAUCGGAGGCCACGACUGUUUACUAAAAACACAAUUCAGAGCAAUGAUUAAGAUAAUAGUAUUCUGGAUGAAAUUUGCUCAAUGCCAUUAAUAUAAGAGAGGUAAUUUUAAAGUUACUAAUCGAAAAUCUGGUUAAUAGCGGUCUUAACUAUGAGGAUCCUAAGGUAGCAAAAUAAAUUGGCCAUUAAAUGUGGUCUUGUAUCAAUAAUGUAACGAUGGUCUCACUGUCUCUACAACUUGCUCAGUGAAAUUGAAUUGCGAGUGCAGAUGCUCGCUGUCUUCAGAGGGACGGGAAGACCCUAUGCACCUUUCUACU
rnacentral:rRNA from 1 species